GGUGAAUUGUUCAUCUCCCCUUCCUAUACAGACAAUCUUGUCCCUUGGUUGGACUACCAGAAACAUCAAGGAAGCUGCCUUUGCUUUGCAGGCUUGAACCUUCUUGGGGCCACAUGCAGGAUUUUUCUCCUCCUGGGAUGAUGAGAGCUGUGGUAGUGUGUGCACACUGUGUCAGACCUGAGAUCAGCUGCCAAGUGUGGACACCCACAGAAGGAUUUUCUUUACAGAACUAUCUUAAAAAUGGAAAUGUCUGUCUCCUCCAGCUAUGCUGGCAGACAGUGUUUACCCAAAGAUCCAGAUACACAAGACCUUGUUAUCAACUGCAGCUUUUACACAACUUUCAAGUGCUGGACUCCCUUUCAGAGAAGAGUUGGGUGCCAUGCCAGCUCCAAGAGAACUCUCAGGAAGAGGUGUAAGAGAUGUGGGGGAAGCAGCAGGCUGCUGGGGGGGAUGGCAAGUCCAAUGUCCAGGGCAGGGGGUUGUCUUAGGUUGGAAAUGGAGGUGAGCAUUCUAUUCCUAUCUAAUGGAGGUGAGGCAGUUAUCUUCUGUUCAUUGGCAGCUUUCUUUGUCUCUUCCACAACCCAUCCUCCCUCCAGGAGAUCUCUGCUGUUCAUGGCCAGUGAGUGUCCCUGCACGGCUGAGAAAAUUCCAUCAUCCCGUGGGGAGAUGCUCUGCCCAUGGGAGGAGCCAAGCAUUCCUACCUGGGUACAAUCUGACUUUGGAACACCACAACAGCCUUUUCCACUGGAUCCCUUUUCCACUGAAUCCACAUGA
rnacentral:lncRNA from 1 species